rnacentral:rRNA from 1 species
AUGAACGCUAGCGACAGGCUUAACACAUGCAAGUCGAGGGGCAGCACAGGUAGCAAUACCGGGUGGCGACCGGCGCACGGGUGAGUAACGCGUAUGCAACUUACCUAUCAGAGGGGGAUAACCCGGCGAAAGUCGGACUAAUACCGCAUGAAGCAGGGGCCCCGCAUGGGGAUAUUUGCUAAAGAUUCAUCGCUGAUAGAUAGGCAUGCGUUCCAUUAGGCAGUUGGCGGGGUAACGGCCCACCAAACCGACGAUGGAUAGGGGUUCUGAGAGGAAGGUCCCCCACAUUGGUACUGAGACACGGACCAAACUCCUACGGGAGGCAGCAGUGAGGAAUAUUGGUCAAUGGGCGUAAGCCUGAACCAGCCAAGUCGCGUGAGGGAUGAAGGUUCUAUGGAUCGUAAACCUCUUUUAUAAGGGAAUAAAGUGCGGGACGUGUCCCGUUUUGUAUGUACCUUAUGAAUAAGGAUCGGCUAACUCCGUGCCAGCAGCCGCGGUAAUACGGAGGAUCCGAGCGUUAUCCGGAUUUAUUGGGUUUAAAGGGUGCGUAGGCGGCCUUUUAAGUCAGCGGUGAAAGUCUGUGGCUCAACCAUAGAAUUGCCGUUGAAACUGGGAGGCUUGAGUAUGUUUGAGGCAGGCGGAAUGCGUGGUGUAGCGGUGAAAUGCUUAGAUAUCACGCAGAACCCCGAUUGCGAAGGCAGCCUGCCAAGCCAUGACUGACGCUGAUGCACGAAAGCGUGGGGAUCAAACAGGAUUAGAUACCCUGGUAGUCCACGCAGUAAACGAUGAUCACUAGCUGUUUGCGAUACAGUGUAAGCGGCACAGCGAAAGCGUUAAGUGAUCCACCUGGGGAGUACGCCGGCAACGGUGAAACUCAAAGGAAUUGACGGGGGCCCGCACAAGCGGAGGAACAUGUGGUUUAAUUCGAUGAUACGCGAGGAACCUUACCCGGGUUUGAACGCAUUCGGACCGAGGUGGAAACACCUUUUCUAGCAAUAGCCGUUUGCGAGGUGCUGCAUGGUUGUCGUCAGCUCGUGCCGUGAGGUGUCGGCUUAAGUGCCAUAACGAGCGCAACCCUUGCCACUAGUUACUAACAGGUAAAGCUGAGGACUCUGGUGGGACUGCCAGCGUAAGCUGCGAGGAAGGCGGGGAUGACGUCAAAUCAGCACGGCCCUUACAUCCGGGGCGACACACGUGUUACAAUGGCGUGGACAAAGGGAAGCCACCUGGCGACAGGGAGCGAAUCCCCAAACCACGUCUCAGUUCGGAUCGGAGUCUGCAACCCGACUCCGUGAAGCUGGAUUCGCUAGUAAUCGCGCAUCAGCCAUGGCGCGGUGAAUACGUUCCCGGGCCUUGUACACACCGCCCGUCAAGCCAUGGGAGCCGGGGGUACCUGAAGUCCGUAACCGCGAGGAUCGGCCUAGGGUAAAACUGGUGACUGGGGCU